UAUUAUAGUUAGGACUUAUAAGUCGUUGGAUAUGCAAAUUAUAAACAUCGAUUUUCCUGACGUCCUCUGUUCUCAUGUUAAUGAGAGUUGUAUUUUGGAUAAUUUUCAGGUAAUAAAUGUGUGGGAGCACAAGAGAAAAUUUUGCAUUCCCAUCCUGCUUGCGAAUAUCAUACUGUGCUCAUCAGUAUUUGUGAAGGGGCAAAUUACUCGGUGGUUCCACAGAGCCAAGUCACAGGAUCUCAGUAUUGACCGAGUAAGAGCGUUCAGGAUGUUUCAAGCCCGCAGACACUAAUAAGGCAAGAUAAUGCCUUAUUAGUAUGCCGGAUCCCAGCAUGGAGUUCACGGCUGGCUGUCACCAACUCUGACCCUGCAGUUCAGAAACGGGAUCCUCACAAUGUGGAGACUUUGGAAGACGCGCAACGAUGCCAUCUUCAAAAACUUGCCCCACACAGACAUGACCUGGUUCAAUCUAUCCUUGAAGAAGCCAAACCGUGGAUGAUCACCGGUGCUAGGGCGUUACGCUGGCUUCCCCUGGAUGCUAUGCCCCCUGAUGACCCACCGGGACAGAAUCUUCAGGACUAACAAAGUUGGCUUUGUACAGUUUUUUUUCCCUUGCUUUCUCUGAAUUUUUUUCCUCUUCUUGAUGGUUUUUCUCUAAUACACAAUGAGUUCGAGAAAAAAGUAAGGCAAGAUAAUACCGACACUUCUAUUUUGCAUUGUAAAUAUCGUUUAGUGGACUAUAAGUGGUGAGGACUUAUUCUUUGGCA